UGUAAAGCCCUUUUGUUGGGAAAGAAAUCCAGCUGGCUAAUACCCGGUUGGGAUGACGGUACCCAAAGAAUAAGCACCGGCUAACUUCGUGCCAGCAGCCGCGGUAAUACGAAGGGUGCAAGCGUUACUCGGAAUUACUGGGCGUAAAGCGUGCGUAGGUGGUCGUUUAAGUCCGUUGUGAGAGCCCUGGGCUCAACCUGGGAACUGCAGUGGAUACUGGGCGACUAGAGUGUGGUAGAGGGUAGCGGAAUUCCUGGUGUAGCAGUGAAAUGCGUAGAGAUCAGGAGGAACAUCCAUGGCGAAGGCAGCUACCUGGACCAACACUGACACUGAGGCACGAAAGCGUGGGGAGCAAACAGGAUUAGAUACCCUGGUAGCCCACGCCCUAAACGAUGCGAACUGGUUGUUGGGUCUUCACUGACUCAGUAACGAAGCUAACGCGUGAAGUUG
rnacentral:rRNA from 1 species